GAUGAAGAACGUAGCGAAAUGCGAUAAGUAGUGUGAAUUGCAGAAUUCAGUGAAUCAUCGAAUCUUUGAACGCACAUUGCGCCCUUUGGUAUUCCUUAGGGCAUGCCUGUUCGAGCGUCAUUUAAACCUUCAAGCUCAGCUUGGUGUUGGGUGUCUGUCCCGCCCCCCUCGGGGGCGCGGACUCGCCUCAAAUGCAUUGGCGGCCGAUACCUUGGCUUCGAGCGCAGCAGAAACGCGAACUCGGUGCCCGGGGGUCGGCUCCCAGAAGCCAUCUUCUUAGUUUGACCUCGGAUCAGGUAGGGAUACCCGCUGAACUUAAGCAUAUCAAUAAGCGGAGGA
rnacentral:misc_RNA from 1 species